GGGUCGGACGAUUAAAAGGGAAACAGGUGCAAGUCCUGUGCAGUCCCGCUACUGUAAUUGCGGAGCAGCUUUCAUGAUGCCAUUGAGGUAAUCUCGAGAAGGCGAGAGUCUGCGCUGAUGCAUAAGCCAGGAGACCUGCCAUCAAUCCA
rnacentral:ncRNA from 1 species